rnacentral:rRNA from 1 species
GAUGAACGCUGGCGGCGUGCUUAACACAUGCAAGUCGAACGAUGAGGCCCAGCUUGCUGGGUGGAUUAGUGGCGAACGGGUGAGUAACACGUGAGUAACCUGCCCUUAACUCUGGGAUAAGCCUGGGAAACUGGGUCUAAUACCGGAUAGGAGCGUCCACCGCAUGGUGGGUGGUGGAGAGAUUUAUCGGUUUUGGAUGGACUCGCGGCCUAUCAGCUUGUUGGUGAGGUAAUGGCUCACCAAGGCGACGACGGGUAGCCGGCCUGAGAGGGUGACCGGCCACACUGGGACUGAGACACGGCCCAGACUCCUACGGGAGGCAGCAGUGGGGAAUAUUGCACAAUGGGCGCAAGCCUGAUGCAGCGACGCCGCGUGAGGGAUGACGGCCUUCGGGUUGUAAACCUCUUUCAGUAGGGAAGAAGCGAAAGUGACGGUACCUGCAGAAGAAGCACCGGCUAACUACGUG